CGGUUCCUGGGGUGAGAAACUUCCAUCCUACAAGCCCAUCCCUUGGGGAUAACCUUGCGAAAGUAAAACUAAUACCCAAUGAUAUCUCUAGAAGACAUCUGAAAGGGAUUAAAGAUUUAUCGGUGAUGGAUGGGGAUGCGUCUGAUUAGCUUGUUGGCGGGGUAACGGCCCACCAAGGCUACGAUCAGUAGGGGUUCUGAGAGGAAGGUCCCCCACAUUGGAACUGAGACACGGUCCAAACUCCUACGGGAGGCAGCAGUGAGGAAUAUUGGUCAAUGGACGAGAGUCUGAACCAGCCAAGUAGCGUGCAGGAUGACGGCCCUAUGGGUUGUAAACUGCUUUUAUAAGGGAAUAAAGUGAGUCUCGUGAGACUUUUUGCAUGUACCUUAUGAAUAAGGACCGGCUAAUUCCGUGCCAGCAGCCGCGGUAAUACGGAAGGUCCGGGCGUUAUCCGGAUUUAUUGGGUUUAAAGGGAGCGUAGGCCGGAGAUUAAGCGUGUUGUGAAAUGUAGACGCUCAACGUCUGCACUGCAGCGCGAACUGGUUUCCUUGAGUACGCACAAAGUGGGCGGAAUUCGUGGUGUAGCGGUGAUAUGCUUCGAUAUCACGAAGAACUCCGAUAACGAAGGCAGCUCAUUGGAGCUCACCCGCCGCUGAAGCUUGAAAGCGCGGAAUCGAACCCCAUUAGAAACCCUUCCCUGUUCAAAAGUUUCCCCAGUG
rnacentral:rRNA from 1 species